GACGAACGCUGGCGGCGUGCCUAAUACAUGCAAGUAGGACGCAGUUGCGAACGGGUGAGUAACGCGUCGGUAACUGCCUAUUAGAGGGGGAUAACUAUUGGAAACGAUAGCUAAUACCGCAUACUAGUAGAUGGACCUGCGUUGUAUUAGCUAGUAGGUAGGGUAAUGGCCUACCUAGGCGACGUUACAUAGCCGACCUUGGAGGGUGGACGGCCAAAACGGGACUGAGACAAGGCCCAGACUCCUACGGGAGGGAGCAGUAGGGAAUCUUCGGCAAUGGGGGGAACCCGGACCGAGCAACGCCGCGUGAGUGAAGAAGGUUUUCGGAUCGUAAAGCUCUGUUGUGAAGGAAGCGGUACUUAACCAGAAAGGGACGGCUAACUACGUGCCAGCAGCCGCGGUAAUUC
rnacentral:rRNA from 1 species